UUCUGUUAUUUGUGAUGUAGGUCUUACAGACGCCAUCAUGUGCUAUAUAGUCUAUCCUUAAGAGGAUUGUUCUGCUUCUGUUAUUUGUGAUGAAGGUCUUCAGAGAUGCCAUCAUGUGUUAUAUAGUCCUUAAGAGGUAUAUCCUUAAGAGGUUAGCUUGAGACCUUGUUUGUCAAAAGCAUGUUUUAUGACCUUAAAGAGUAAUGAUCUCAAGGUUACCUUGAAAGGGUCACUUACAUGCAUACUUUCCAGAGGUCGCUGGUGAAAUUACGGUUUCCAAUAGAGCGGAGAGAGCAACUGUUCGGAAUGCCUAGCUGAACGAAUGCAUGCUACAGGCUGCGCGACAACCUUGUCAUGAAGGGCCAACUUCUGCGGUCGUUGCGCUGACAGCCACGAAAGAAGCCGUAUCACCGUGGCUUUCGUAUGAAGAUUUGAUAUGAGCUUCUUAACAAGAGCUUGUGCUGUGUUGGAAGGUGGCUAUGAUCACGCAUAGGGUGUGUCAUGUUAACCUCUCACGAGUUGUACGCCUUCUUGCGCAUGUGGGGAGCUUCACAGCCUACAGUGACGAAGCCAACUGUGAGUUUGUUCCAUGUAUUUGCUAUUUAAACGACGCCAAUCAUCAUUAUUAUAUUGAGCGGUUGGUUAGUUUGGAAUGCACCGCUCAC